rnacentral:rRNA from 1 species
CCUACGGGAGGCUGCAGUGGGGAAUAUUGGGCAAUGGGCGCAAGCCUGACCCAGCCACGCCGCGUGAAGGAAGAAGGCUUUCGGGUUGUAAACUUCUUUUAAGAGGGAAGAGCAGAAGACGGUACCUCUUGAAUAAGCCACGCCUAACUACGUGCCAGCAGCCGCGGUAAUACGUAGGUGGCAAGCGUUGUCCGGAUUUACUGGGUGGAAGGGGCGUGUAGCCGGGCUGACAAGUCAGAUGUGAAAUCCUGGGGCUCAACCCUCGAACUGCAUUUGAAACUGUUGGUCUUGAGUAUCGGAGAGGCAGGCGGAAUGCCUAGUGUAGCGGUGAAAUGCGUAGAUAUUAGGAGGAACACCAGUGGCGAAGGCGGCCUGCUGGACGACAACUGACGGUGAGGCGCGAAAGCGUGGGGAGCAAACAGGAUUAGAUACCCCUGUAGUC